rnacentral:rRNA from 1 species
UACGUAGGGUGCGAGCGUUAAUCGGAAUUACUGGGCGUAAAGCGUGCGCAGGCGGUGAUGUAAGACAGAUGUGAAAUCCCCGGGCUCAACCUGGGAAUUGCAUUCGAGACUGCGUAGCUAGGGUGCGGAAGAGGGAAGCGGAAUUUCCGGUGUAGCGGUGAAAUGCGUAGAUAUCGGAAGGAACACCAGUGGCGAAAGCGGCUUCCUGGUCCAGCACCGACGUUCAGGCACGAAAGCGUGGGGAGCAAACAGG